AACGAACGCUGGCGGCAUGCCUAACACAUGCAAGUCGAACGAGACCUUCGGGUCUAGUGGCGCACGGGUGCGUAACGCGUGGGAACCUGCCCUUAGGUUCGGAAUAACUCCCCGAAAGGGGUGCUAAUACCGAAUAAUGUCUUCGGACCAAAGAUUUAUCGCCUUUGGAUGGGCCCGCGUUGGAUUAGCUAGUUGGUAGGGUAAAAGCCUACCAAGGCGACGAUCCAUAGCUGGUCUGAGAGGAUGAUCAGCCACACUGGGACUGAGACACGGCCCAGACCCCUAGGGGGGGCAGCAGUGGGGAAUUUGGGAAAAGGGGCGAAAGCCUGACCCACCAAGGCCGGGGGGGUGAUAAAGGCCUUGGGGUUGUAACGCUCUUUUCCCCGGGAUGAUAAUGACAGUACCGGGGAAAUAAGCCCCGGCUAACUCCGG
rnacentral:rRNA from 1 species